CAAUGAGCAUUUGGCUUUUGUUCCUUUGCCUUGUGGUUUUCCAAGUUGUUUUCUCUAUUAAACGAAUUUCACACAUACACUUUAUCAUUACGAUGAGUGAGCCCAAUGUGCUCUCUCUAACCAACUUAGCUAUAUGUCUAAGGGCCAGUUUGGUAAUGCUGCAGCUUUUAAAAUAAUUGAUGUUAGCUGUGCUGUAGAAAUAAUCAGCUGUGAAGAGAAUCAGUUAAGUGUUUGGUAAAUUUUAUUUUCAAAAGUACUGUGAAUUUUGAAAGCAGUUAUGGGUGUUUGGUAAAUCUUAUUGUUAAACACUGUGUAAGAAAAUAAAUGACUAAAAUAUACAUAAUGUAGGAUGAAAUUUACUUAUACAUAUAAAAAUGUACACGUCCAAUAUCUCGUUGAAUCAAACAAUUUUUUUUUAUAAAAAUGUGGAAUUAGCAUAUUAACUUAUUGCCAAGCAGCAUAAACGUAUCACUUUCUAUAGUUUUGUGCCCUGUAUCUUUAGUUACACAAAUUAUUCUUAUGGAGAAAACGUUAAUUAUAAUAAAAAAUAUUAAAAUAUUGAUUUUAUUUCCAAUUUAAAUAAGGAUAAUUUUGGGUUUAAGUAAUAAUUGUAAGGAUAUUUAUGAAAUUAUAUUAAAGGAUAAAAUUGAUUCUCAAAAUCAGAAUUUAAAAGUUACUCCUUCUCUGCUUUUCAAAAUCAGCUGUAGGAGUAGCUGAUUCUAGCAAAAGUGAUUUUAAUUUUUUUUUACCAAACACCAAAAUUAACUUUUAGAUUUUUAAAAUCACUUUUAACCCUCCCAAAAGCAAUCCCAAACGGGGCCUAAGUCUAAUAUGCCAAAUUUUGGCAUGUACAUCAUCAUUGCAAGAUGAUGCAGAGUGAACAACUUUCCAUAAAAUCUCUUUUCAAAUUUGGUUAUACAAACACCUAAAAAUUAAGUAUCCUAAUCUAAGAAUGUCAACAAUAUAGACCAAGGUUUUUGAUGAAUUUUCGAUGUACGUUCAUUCUUGAAAAAUAAGGACCAUGCAAUACCAACUUGCAGAUGCUUAUACCUUGAUUUCUAGAACAAGGAUAUCCUC
rnacentral:lncRNA from 1 species